AAACCAGCACCUCAAGUGGUCAGGAUGAUUAUUGGGCCUAAAGCAUCCGUAGCCUGCUCUGUAAGUUUUCGGUUAAAUCUGUACGCUCAACGUACAGGCUGCCGGGAAUACUGCAAAGCUAGGGAGUGGGAGAGGUAGACGGUACUCGGGAGGAAGUGGUAAAAUGCUUUGAUCUCUCGAUGACCACCUGUGGCGAAGGCGGUCUACCAGAACACGUCCGACGGUGAGGGAUGAAAGCUGGGGGAGCAAACCGGAUUAGAAACCCCUGUAGUCC
rnacentral:rRNA from 1 species